rnacentral:lncRNA from 1 species
UUGACCCUUACCAGACGUCCAGGUAACCAAGAUGCAGAGGGGAAUGGCUAAACCGGGGGACAAGUGAAAAGACGCAAGAAUGUCAUACCCAGGCUACCCCCCGACAGGCUACCCACCUUUCCCUGGAUAUCCUCCUGCAGGUCAGGAGUCCUCUUUCCCCACUUCGGGUCAGUAUCCGUACCCUAGUGGCUUUCCACCAAUGGGAGGAGGUGCUUACCCACCAGCUCCAAGUGGUGGCUACCCAGGAGCUGGAGGCUACCCCUCACCUGGAGGUUAUCCAGCCCCUGGGGGCUAUCCUGGAACCCUAAAUCCAGGGGGUCCUCCAUCCUAUCCUGGAGGUCAAGGCUUUGGGGCCCCACCUGGUGGGGCAGGCUUUUCUGGCUAUCCACAGCCACCUGCACAGUCUUACGGCGGUGGACCAGCCCAGGUUCCAGUCCCAGGUGGCUUUCCUGGAGGGCAGAUGCCGUCUCAGUACCCCGGAGGACAGUCUCCCUACCCUGGCCAGCCUGCUGCGAUGACUCAGGGCACCCAAGGAACAAUCCGCCCAGCCUCCAACUUCGAUGCUAUGAGAGAUGCAGAGAUUCUCCGCAAAGCAAUGAAGGGGUUUGGGACUGAUGAGCAAGCGAUUGUGGAUGUCGUGUCUAACCGUUCCAAUGACCAGAGGCAACAAAUUAAAGCAGCUUUUAAGACCAUGUAUGGCAAGG